GAAAGGGGCCCCUUUCCCUUUUCCUGGUCCCGCGGUCCAACCUCGUGUGCGACCCUUAAAGCGUAGGCCCCGCCGCGACGGCACCCGGCCUGACUUGCGAGGGAACAAACUGUGCCCUGAGCAGGCCAGGAAGCCCGCCCCGGGGCGGAUGACCCUCAGUCUCCUAGUCGGAGCGCAUUGAGCGCAGGGCGGCGCUGUCCUCACCCUUGCGUAACGAGCCGGACGGAGGGCGUUUACCCGCGGAGGAAACCGACACGUGAUGCGCGCCUGCUGAGUGCCAGCUCCUCCAGCUCCGCCAAGUGGGUGGGAUCCCCUACUUUGAAGAGAAGGAAGCCGUUCAGGCCUCCCUGUGUGCAUUUUGCAAAAGCCUCUGCCCUUCCAUCUCGAAUCCCUUCGCACCGAUCACACUUUCUUCGCCUGGAAACCUGGAGCCUUCUCUCGCGAGACAUCCUCCGCCCUGUAGAAGGCCAUUUCGGUUCUUCAUGCGCGGUAGCGGCCCCACUUGCAGGAUUCCAAGGCCUGCCUAAUCGGGUGCGGGUGUCUGGCUGUGGAUUCGCCGCCGUCCCGCUGGACGCCUGGAGGCUCGAACCCCGCCGCUCCCAGAUCCCAGGCUUUGCUCCCACCCCGGCUUCCACCCACGGUGCUGCACUUCCUUGGACCUGGGCUGUCGGGAGAGCUGGAGAUGUUCACACUUCCUCAAAAGGACUUAAGUGCUCCCACCACCUGUCUGGGCCCCACCUGCAUGCAGGACCUGGGCAGUAGCCAUGGGGAUGAUCUGGAAGGAGAAUGCUCCAGAAAACUGGACCAGAAGCUGCCAGAGCUCCUUGGAGUGGGUGAUCCUGCCAUCCUCUCCUCUGAUACCUCCUACCUAUCCUCUAGAGGAAGAAUGAUUAAAUGGUUCUGGGAUUCCGCUGAGGAGGGCUACAGGACCUACCACAUGGAUGAGUAUGAUGAGGACAAGAACCCCAGUGGCAUCAUCAACUUGGGUGUCAGUGAGAACAAACUCUGCUCUGACCUGCUGUCCUGGCGGCUGAGUCAGAGCGACAUGCAGAGAGUGGAGCCGUCCCUGCUGCAGUACGCCGACUGGAGGGGACAUCUGUUCCUCCGGGAGGAAGUGGCCAAGUUCCUGUCUUUCUACUGCAAGAGCCCAGCGCCACUCAGACCAGAGAAUGUGGUUGUCCUGAAUGGUGGUGCCUCGCUCUUCUCUGCUCUGGCCACGGUGCUGUGUGAGGCCAGGGAGGCUUUCCUGAUCCCCACCCCUUACUAUGGCGCCAUCACACAGCACGUGUGUCUCUACGGCAACGUCCGACUGGCCUAUGUCUACUUGGACAGUGAGGUCACUGGGCUAGACACACGCCCCUUCCAGCUCACAGUGGAGAAGCUGGAGACGGCCCUGCGAGAAGCUCACUCUGAGGGUGUGAAGGUCAAAGGCCUCAUCCUCAUCAACCCCCAGAACCCUCUGGGUGACAUCUACUCCCCGGAAGAGCUGCAGGAGUACCUGGUAUUUGCCAAGAGGCACAAGCUGCAUGUGAUUGUGGAUGAGGUCUACAUGCUGUCCGUGUUUGAGGAGUCAGUUGGGUACCGCAGUGUCCUAAGCCUGGAAAGUUCUGUGUUGCGUCUGUUUCCACGCUGUGCUCUCUGCAGGCUGCCUGACCCCCAGAGGACCCACGUGAUGUGGGCAACCAGCAAGGACUUUGGGAUGUCUGGGCUCCGCUUUGGCACACUGUACACAGAAAACCAGGACGUGGCCACUGCCGUGGCUUCCCUCUGCCGCUACCACGGCCUCAGUGGCUUGGUCCAGUACCAGAUGGCACAGCUGCUGCGGGACCGUGGUGACUGCCUGGGCCUGACUGGAUCAACCAGGUGUACCUGCCGGAAAACCAUGCCCGGCUCAAGGCUGCCCACACCUACGUCUCGGAAGAGCUCAGGGCGUUGGGGAUCCCCUUCUUGAGUCGUGGGGCCGGCUUCUUCAUCUGGGUUGACUUGAGAAAGUACCUGCCCAAGGGCACCUUUGAGGAGGAAAUGCUGCUCUGGCGCCGCUUUUUGGACAACAAGGUGCUGCUGUCCUUUGGCAAGGCCUUCGAGUGUAAAGAGCCUGGUUGGUUUCGCUUUGUCUUCUCAGACCAGGCCCACCGGCUUUGCCUGGGGAUGCAGAGGGUCCGGCAGGUGCUUGCAGGCAAAUCCCAAGUGGCUGAAGACCCCCCUCCCUCUCAGAGCCAAGAGCCAAGUGACCAACGCAGGUGAGCUGGUCAUUGCCUCGUGGCCAGAGGGCCCAGCAGCCACUGUGGACCUGGGGCGUUCCGGGGCUGCAGAAGACCGACUGUGGAUGUGCCAUUUGCCAGGAAGGUGUCUAACUUGGCUUUGUGCCUGAAGAACUGUUUCUUGCCUUUUGCUGUAUCCGUGAGAAACUCCUUAAGCUAUGGUUCAGCCUGGGCCCUCCCUCUCUCCUAUUAAACAAAACUAGGGGAGUCCAGAUGUCUCCAUUGUGAGUUAUUUAGAAUGGAGGAGUCGUGACUGCUUCUAACCAGAGCCUCAGCCCUCCUGGGGAUAUGGAAAGAAAACAAACAACCUGUACCUUCUUUCUGAUAUCACCAUCAUUCCUCUUUCUUUGUCGCCAUGGAAACGAGUCAAAGGAACAGCACAUACAGGAGAGUGUGCAGAAAAAUAAAAAAAAGUGAUAACUUCCAAA